rnacentral:rRNA from 1 species
UGGGGAAUUUUGGACAAUGGGCGAAAGCCUGAUCCAGCAAUGCCGCGUGUGUGAAGAAGGCCUUCGGGUUGUAAAGCACUUUUGUCCGGAAAGAAAUCCUUGGCUCUAAUACAGUCGGGGGAUGACGGUACCGGAAGAAUAAGCACCGGCUAACUACGUGCCAGCAGCCGCGGUAAUACGUAGGGUGCAAGCGUUAAUCGGAAUUACUGGGCGUAAAGCGUGCGCAGGCGGUUUGCUAAGACCGAUGUGAAAUCCCCGGGCUCAACCUGGGAACUGCAUUGGUGACUGGCAGGCUAGAGUAUGGCANAGGGGGGUAGAAUUCCACGUGUAGCAGUGAAAUGCGUAGAGAUGUGGAGGAAUACGAUGGCGAAGGCAGCCCCCUGGGCCAAUACUGACGCUCAUGCACGAAAGCGUGGGGAGCAAACAGGAUUAGAUACCCUGGUAGUCCACGCCCUAAAACGAUGUCAACUAGUUGUUGGGGGAUUCAUUUCCUUAGUAACGUAGCUAACGCGUGAAGUUGACCGCCUGGGGAGUACGGUCGCAAGAUUAAAACUCAAAGGAAUUGACGGGGUCAUAGCUGUUUCCU